GUCUACGGCCAUACCACCCUGAACGCGCCCGAUCUCGUCUGAUCUCGGAAGCUAAGCAGGGUCGGGCCUGGUUAGUACUUGGAUGGGAGAAAGAAGUAUUCAUUUCUAUCUUGUGUAAGUGACUGUUAGUUCUGGUUU
ensembl:rRNA 5S_rRNA 5S ribosomal RNA